AGCAGCCGCGGUAAUUCCAGCUCCAAUAGCGUAUAUUAAAGUUGCUGACAGUUAAAAAGCUCGUAGUUGAAUUUCGGGACUAAUAUGUCGGUCGUGCCUCGGUACGUACUGGUUUAUUGGUUUCUCCUUUCUGAAGAACCAUGAUGUCAUUUAUUUGGUGUCGUGGGGAAUCAGGACUGUUACUUUGAAAAAUUAGAGUGUUUAAAGCAGGCUCACGCUUGAAUACAUUAGCAUGGAAUAAUGAAAUAGGACGUUUGAUUCUAUUUUGUUGGUUUCUAGGAUCGACGUAAUGAUUAAUAGGGAUAGUUGGGGGCAUUAGUAUUCAAUUGUCAGAGGUGAAAUUCUUGGAUUUAUUGAAGACUAACUACUGCGAAAGCAUUUGCCAAGGAUGUUUUCAUUAAUCAAGAACGAAAGUUAGGGGAUCGAAGACGAUCAGAUACCGUCGUAGUCUUAACCAUAAACUAUGCCGA
rnacentral:rRNA from 1 species